rnacentral:rRNA from 1 species
UACGUAGGGACCGAGCGUUGUCCGGAUUCAUUGGGCGUAAAGAGCUCGUAGGCGGCUGCUCAAGUCGAAUGUGAAAACUCGAGGCUCAACCUCGAGCCUGCAUUCGAUACUGGGCGGCUAGAGUCUGGUAGGGGGAUCUGGAAUUCCCGGUGUAGUGGUGAAAUGCGUAGAUAUCGGGAGGAACACCAGUGGCGCAAGCGGCGAACUGGCCGAGACCUGACGCUGAGACGCGACGGCGUGGGGAGCAAACCGG